CGGUGUUCAACUGGCGUGCCCGCGGGACGUCCUGCCGGUGAGCUCAGCCCGCGAGGGCGGCUCAACUUGAAAUCCCAUCGCGGUGCUCUUCAUUGAGUGUCGAGGUGGGCCGGCACGAUUACUUUUGAACAAAUUAGAGUGCUUAAAGCAGGCUAAAAUUUUGCCUGAAUACUGUGUAUAUGGAAUAAUGGAAUAGGACCUCGGUUCUAUUUUGUUGGUUUUCGGAACCCCGAGGUAAUGAUUAAUAGGAACGGAUGGGGGCAUUCGUAUUGCGACGUUAGAGGUGAAAUUCUUGGAUCGUCGCAAGACGGACUAAAGCGAAAGCAUUUGCCAAAAACGCUUUCAUUGAUCAAGAACGAAAGUUAGAGGUUCGAAGGCGAUCAGAUACCGCCCUAGUUCUAACCAUAAACUAUGCCAGCUAGCGAUCCGCCGACGUCCCUCUGAUGACUCGGCGGGCAGCUUCCGGGAAACCAAAGCUUUUGGGUUCCGGGGGAAGUAUGGUUGCAAAGCUGAAACUUAAAGGAAUUGACGGAAGGGCACCACCAGGAGUGGAGCCUGCGGCUUAAUUUGACUCAACACGGGAAGCCUCACCAGGCCCAGACACUGGAAGGAUUGACAGAUUGAGAGCUCUUUCUUGAUUCAGUGGGUGGUGGUGCAUGGCCGUUCUUAGUCGGUGGGGCGAUUUGUCAGGUUAAUUCCGAUAACGGACGAGACUCUGACCUGAUAACUAGACGCACUUGCGGCAUCUCAAAGGUCCGCCGGCGGCUGGCUUUGCGCCCGUCGUCGCGCGCGAUUUUUACUGCCGGCGUACAAUAAAUUCUUCUUAGAGGGACAAGUGG
rnacentral:rRNA from 1 species